GAGUUUAUAGUUUAAAGUUUAAAACAAAAAUUUUCUAAAUUUUUAAUAUAAGUUAAAGUCUUAUUGAACUCA